GGUCGGAUAAGGCGUUUACCGCAUCCGACAUCAAUGCCUGAUGCGACGCUUGCCGCGUCUUAUCAGGCC
rnacentral:ncRNA from 1 species